rnacentral:rRNA from 1 species
GAUGAACGCUGGCGGCGUGCCUAAUACAUGCAAGUCGAGCGAACAGACGAGGAGCUUGCUCCUCUGACGUUAGCGGCGGACGGGUGAGUAAAACGUGGAUAACCUACCUAUAAGACUGGGAUAACUUCGUGAAACCGGAGCUAAUAACGGAUAAUAUAUUGAACCUCAUGGUUCAAUAGUGAAAGACGGUUUUGCUGUCACUUAUAGAUGGUUCCGCGCCGCAUUAGCUAGUUGGUAAGGUAACGGCUUACCAAGGCAACGAUGCGUAGCCGACCUGAGAGGGUGAUCGGCCACACUGGAGCGGAGACACGGUCCAGACUCCUACGGGAGGCAGCAGUAGGGAAUCUUCCGCAAUGGGCGAAAGCCUGACGGAGCAACGCAGCGUGAGUGAUGAAGGUCUUCGGAUCGUAAAACUCUGUUAUUAGGGAAGAACAAAUGUGUAAGUAACUAUGCACGUCUUGACGGUACCUAAUCAGAAAGCCACGGCUAACUACGUG